GGAGGCAGCGGACAAAACGG
rnacentral:snRNA from 1 species